UACGUAGGGUGCGAGCGUUGUCCGGAAUUAUUGGGCGUAAAGAGCUCGUAGGCGGCUUGUCACGUCGGUUGUGAAAGCCCGGGGCUUAACCCCGGGUCUGCAGUCGAUACGGGCAGGCUAGAGUUCGGUAGGGGAGAUCGGAAUUCCUGGUGUAGCGGUGAAAUGCGCAGAUAUCAGGAGGAACACCGGUGGCGAAAGCGGGUCUCUGGGCCGAUACUGACGCUGAGGAGCGAAAGCGUGGGGAGCGAACAGG
rnacentral:rRNA from 1 species